rnacentral:piRNA from 1 species
UCCAGUGCAAUGUGGGAUAGAAGUGG